UCCCUAAAAUUUUGAGAACUCGCCUUGUUUUUUCUAUCUUCUAUCUAUUUUUCAUCCUUGAAAUCCACUCUCCCCACUAUGAUACUUUCUCCUCUAGAUCUCCCUUCAUUCUCUACCUCCUGUCUCUCUGUAAACCUCGAAGGUGAAUCGUAAUUGAUCUGCGAGGUCUCCUUCUUUUUCUUUGUUUUCUCAGAUGUAGCACAUUCCAAACUGGGGAUUUAACCAAACCCGAUAGAGCCAUUGACGGAAUCCUUGGAUUCAAUCAACAAGGACUCUCUGUAAUCGUGCAACUUUCUUCACAAGGGAUCGCUCCAGGUCUUCAAUCUAUCAAUCUACAAUGGCCAUUGUCAAGUUACAUCAAAUCAAGGUCUAGUGUUUCAAAUGCUUCAAGUUCUUCCCAAAUAACUUCCCCUCCCAAGAUGAUUUUCCUCAAUUUUCUAUCGAACUUAGUAGCUGUUGAAUCGGUGCAUGUCUGUGUGAAGAACCUGCCCCGAGAUCUGUUACAUUUAUGAAUGAGGAAGAUUUGGUAAGUUAACUCACUCGAUCUUCUACCACUCUCGUGUUUUCAACACAUAAAACACAGACAAACCUUGAAGAGAAAUUUCAAGUUUUUAAAUAAGAAUCCUCAAAAACCAUCGUGAUUUCAAAUGAAACCCCUCCCCUUAGAGUCCAGACGCUUCUUCUCUGUCGAUAGCACAUAAAAUCUUGGUUUUCUAUUGUUUCUAUCGACCAGAGACUUUCAAUGGAGAAUACAAAACCUGGAAAGAAAGACUCAGAUGCCUAGAAAUUCAAGGGCGUAAACAAAGUUUUUCGAUCUAUGAUCAUCUCUCUCUCUCUCUCUCUUGCUUCAUCUACUCUGUUUUAUUGUGUUCUUCUGAUAUGAUAAUCAACAAUCUUUUUUCUCUAUAAGAUAGUCGAUCCAAGUGACCAAAGGGAUGGUGACCAAUUAUAUUGGGAUAUUCAAAACCUUUUGUUUGGUAACACUUCACCUGACUACUUACCCUUGGAGUUUAGGGCUCUAAAAGUUUCUCUUGAGGUUGUUUGUACAUUUCUGCUGGAGGUGAUGGAGCUGGUAACAGCAAUGGAGCUUCACGAGCACUUGUAAAGGAUAGGUUUUUCUUUUCAACUAUCUAUUAUAUCUAUAAAAAAGAAUUAAAAUUUUGGUUGAUAUAUAAACUGAAAUGUGGUGGUUUAACAUUAGGUUGAAGAUCUUCAAUGUUCAUUUUGAAGAGCUUCAUCAAAGACAAUCUCAAUGGAAAAUUGUUUAUUGAUUACAUAACAGUGCUAUCCAGCUGAAAAAAUAAACUAAACCCUAGUUCCUCUAGAACUCAAUUUCAUGUCCUAGAAGUUAUCAUGAUGUUAUUGGCAGCUGAAACCAGUUCAGUGAAUUGAAAAGCUAGAGAGAAAAGGGAGGAAAAAGCCAUGGAAGGGGAUGACAGGGAUGUAAUGUUGGCAUGCAUAAUACGGGAACCCUUUUCACUUUCUUGGGGUUGGCUUCUUUUGCGAUACUUUGAGUUGUUAAUUGGCAGCCAUGGCGGAUAUACAGGUACUUCUUCCUUAUUUCCUGUUUUGUUAACCAGUUUUUGUCGUUAUGGGUUCUCAUUUGAAGCAAUGGAGAAUUCAAUAGCUUUCUUUGACUAUUGUUUCUUUAUCAGUGGUCUACAAGAUCACCUCAUGUUACAUUCUUCAGCUAAACAGAACUUGAAAGUUAAAAAAAAGGAAGAUUUGGAAAUUGGAUAUAUAAGUAUAUAACAUUACAUUUUGAACCUCUUAAAUGUUCAACCAUAAGUAGGAAACUUUUGAUUAACAUGCCUUAAGUUAUUAAUCAGUUGGUUUCAAUUUGUUCAUUUUGAACCUCUUAAAAGUUAUCACCUAACACUUUCUGUUAUUAUUGUUAUAUUUGCUCAGUUGGAACUUUGCUAGAAAAUGGCCAAGUUUCCCCCAAGGCCCUCAAUUGGGAAUACUAUGCGGUUUUCUAUCCCUCUGUGUAUGGCUUGUUGUCAUUUCUCCAGUUGUAGUUCUUAUCACAUGGGGAUGUUGCUUAAUCUUAAUACUUGGUAGAGAUAUUAUUAGUUUAGUAGUAAUUAUGGCUGGAACUGCUCUUCUUUUGGCAUUCUAUUCCAUAAUGCUAUGGCGGCAAACACAGCAUUACCUGAUGCCCUUUUCCCUUCGGUGCUUGGUAGGAAAAUUGUUAUUAGUCAAGCUCUAUCCAAGGUAUAUUAUUUUGUCAUGUACUUGGUCUAAUGUAUGAAAGAAUGGGACAACCACAAAAAGGUAAAAUGUUGAUGACUUGAUUCUUCCCCAUUCUUUCCUUAUUUAUAUGUUAACAUUGCACUAAACUUUCUGAUUCACAAGUUAUGGUAGUCUCCAUAAUUCGGUCCAUUUUUUUUCAAAUGUCUUGAUCCUUCGUGUGUCGUUGCAAAAUUAAUCAAUUCCUAUAAAUAAAAGUUGCACCGAGUCAACCUGGUACCCACCUAAGUACAUCGAAGCCUCCGUCAUUUUAGAUUUUUUUUAAUAAAAAAAGAAGAGAGAGAGAGAGAGAGAGAGAGAGAGAGAGAGAGAGAGAGAGAGAGAAUACUUCUAGAAGUAAUCUAGAAUGAGGCACUUGUGGGACAGCUGCUAUUAGUAAAUUCAUUGCAGCAUCUGCACUACUAGUGAUCUACAAACAUGCAACAAAUAUGAUAAUAAAAAAUUGAUAUAACAAUGCUUCAUGAAGCAUUUAUUUCUAGAAAUCACAAUAAUCAGUUAUAAAUAAAUUUAUAUAAGUGUUAGAAAUGCAAUGCAUACCAAGUAAUUGAGGCGGAAAAAGUGAAUAUAAAGAAUAGGGAUAAUAUGCUCUUCUCCUUUUCUGUUGUCGUUUUGAGUGCUUUUUUUUAUAAAUGUCCAAAGCUGUAUCCAAAUUUCCCUGUUUAUUAUAAAAUAUAAAGUCAGUUUUUUGCUACAAAUGCAAAUAAAAUAAUAGUCAUGAUUGAUGAUUGAUUAUGUUUACCAGACGUUGCUCCAUAUUAGCCUCUUUUAUUGUGGUUUCAAUGAAAGAUGAAUCAUAUUCAAAAGUAUCACAAAGCUGAAAUGCAGCACGAGCUCCUUCAAUAUCUCCUAUUUUCUCUUUAUAUCUUGCAUUCAAAAUAUGUACCUCUGAUACAUCCUGUAUAUCAAAAUAUAUACAAGAAAUGUGAAAAGAUUUCUAAUCCUUAUAAAAUUAAACUUACUUUGCAUCUGAUGUAUAUUUCUGUUUGGUUUGUAAAUCUGCCAAAGGAAUUGGAUUUUGGAAUAUAAACAAGAGUAAAUUACACGAUUAGUCCCUAUAGUUUGGGGUAAUUUAUGUGGUGAUGAAGAUAUUGAAAGGCCAGAUUUGCUUUCUUUGGUUCAAACUCAUCAUGCACAGGUGCAUGCAUUAUUACAUAUUUACUCUCCUGCACUCGAUGGGUGGAUUGCUAGUAUCAUGUUUCAUAUCACUCCAUUUUGAUGUAUGUACAUACAACCAUUGGAUGUCUUUUGCCAUUUUGAUGUAUGCACAUACAACCAUUGAAUGUCUUCUUUCUAAACAUGAUUCCCAAUUUAUCUUUUUUGUUUUUCUUAUUUUGGGUAUUUUUUUCCUUAUUUUCUUUGGUUAUAAUCUUUAUAGGUGCAGAAGGAUGACAUGAUUCUUGAUUCAUUGGUGCUUCCACCAAUAAAUGGGAGAAAUAUGACCUGGUUCAUUUAAUUUUGUGACUUCAGAACAUGGUCACUUUAUACUGUGACAUUAUUUGUGUGUGAUGCUGACAAUUUUCGAACCAAGGCAUGCGAAGUCUCCAUGUCAGCGUUUAUGGAGUCUCAUGACCCAAUAUGAAGUCUCCAUGUCAGUGUUUAUGGAUCCACAUCCCAUAAGUAGGGCUAGUUUGGGAACCUAUAGAGUAAAUUAAUGUGCCUAAUGAACCUACAAACUUGUAUUGCUAGUAUUUACUUCUUGAUUUGUUGAUAUUAUCUUCUUUCAUUGUUGUGUAUCCAUAUGGUAUUUACAUGCUUACCCAACUGUGUUGCAGUUUUACCAAAUUGGUCAUUGCAAAUAUAGAGAAUCUUGCAGAUUCAAUCACUCCAAAUCUGAGCCUGAAAACUCUCUCCAGCGACUUAACAUUCUCGGUUUUCUAGAAAGAUUGGUGAUUACUAAUUUAUCCUUGUAUAGCUUUUCAUACAAAGAGGUUCAAUUUAUGCUUUGCUCACUACUUUGUAAGUUACUAAAGUAUACUUCAUAUAUCAAUGGUGAAAUCAGCAUGACAGGAGGCAUUUCAUGUAUUUUUUUGAACAUACAUGUUAAUGGUAACGUGUCUAAGGCUGUGUUUUGUCUUUACUUGUUCCUAAUUUCGCUUUUUAAUAUUUCUGCUUAAAUAUGAAAUUUCGAGGCCUUAAACUUAUUGUAUUGUAAUCUAGGUUUUCUUUGACAUUUAUAUGUUUUACCUUCUUAUUGUGGGAUUCUUAAAUCAUUUUGUCAUUUUUUUUAGAUAAUCAAAAAAGAAAAUAUGAUUCUUAUGGAAGAUGUGAGUAGAGAUCUGCAAGUUCAGCAUGGCAAGUUUUAGUAUUUUAUUUCACCUUCAAUAUUUUAUAUUUUAGAAUUUAGUUAGUAAGUGUCACGAUUUGGGGUAUUUUAAUAAUUUCAUUUGGCAUUUUGAUGAGGCGGUAACUACAUAUUGUGAACUUUUCAUAGCUAGAUGUACAAACACAACUAAAUAUUUUGCAAGCCGAAAAGUGAUCGGAGAAAGUUGGUUGCACUUAAGUUCAUUGAAGCAGUAACUCUUUUAUAUACAGCUGAUCCAAGUGACUCUUCUGAACCACCUGAAGAUCAAACUUAUGGAGAGUUGCCAGAUGAAUUUAACACAACAUGGAUUCAUAGAGGGGGUCCCAUACUUAAUGUUAGUGAUUUAUCAAUUGAAGCAAGUAAGAACUUAGGUUUGUUGCUUGAUCAACUAAGGUAUCAAGUUAUGAAGCUACUAAGCAAUAUGGUGGUUAUUGUGCUAAUCAAGAGGUAUCUGAUCUUUGUCAUUCAAAUAUAUAUGCUAUAGUGCUUUCUAUAUUAGUAAUUUCUCAUUACGAUGUGUUGUUUCUUGUGCAAUUCUAUUUUUAGGAGAUAUUUUACUUUAUUAGAUGUUUAAAGUUACAGGACAUGAUUAUGGGCACAUCAUGGAACAUUUUACGGCAGUUGUUGGUUUUCCUCUUGGUGAUCCAUCAAUGAAGUGGCCAACUUGCAUCAUGUAAUAACAUUUUAGGGGAUGAUGUAGGUAUAUGUUUUUUAAUGAAUAAUGUAAUCAUAUGUAUGAAUAUGAAAUAAAGUUUGUUAUUUAGUAUGUGAUAAUCAUGUAUAGGGGAAAACAACUUCUAUUGACUUCUUUUAUCUUUCCAUGGAUCGAUUAUUUGUAUGACAUUAAAUUUUAUGCAAUGGAUUGUAUAUUUUGUA